UCAAGCUACAAAGAGCACAAGGGGAAUGCCUUGGCACCGAGAGCCGAUGAAGGACGUGACUAACUGCGAAAAGCCACGGGGAGCUGUAAGUGAGCGAUAUAUCCGUGGAUGUCCGAAUGGAGCAAUCCGGCAAGAGGAAAGUCUUGUCAUCAUAUGCUGAAUACAUAGGCAUAUGAGGGGAACCGCCUGAACUGAAACAUCUAAGUAGGGCGAGGAAGAGAAAUCAACAGAGAUUCCGCCAGUAGUGGCGAGCGAACGCGGAAGAGGCCAAACCGAGGGUAGAAAUACCUUCGGGGUUCGGACAGUGUAAUGCAUUGAAGCGACUUAGCUGAAUGGUAUGGGAAGGCCAAUCGAAGAAGGUGAAAAUCCUGUAAGCGAAAAGUCAAAUCAGCAGACUGUAUCCAGAGUACCGCCGGACACGUGAAACCCGGUGGGAAUACGGGGGGACCAUCCUCCAAGCCUAAAUACUACUCGGUGACCGAUAGAGAAGAAGUACUGUGAAGGAAAGGUGAAAAGUACCCCUGACGGGGAGUGAAAUAGAACCUGAAACCUUGUGUUUACAAGCACUGAAAGUCAUUCAACGGACGAUCAGGUACCUUUUGUAGAAUGGUCCGGCGAGUGAAUGUAUUUGGCAAGGUUAAGCACUUAAGGUGCGGAGCCGCAGCGAAAGCAAGUCUUAAUAGGGCGUAAGAAGUCAAAUGUAUUCGACCCGAAACCGUGUGACCUACCCAUGGCCAGGUUGAAGUAAAGGUAAAACUUUAUGGAGGACCGAACCGACUGUCGUUGAAAUGCCAGCGGAUGAGCUGUGGGUAGCGGAGAAAUUCCAAUCGAACUCGGAGAUAGCUGGUUCUCUCCGAAAUAGCUUUAGGGCUAGCCUUGAUAUAGAUUACCGGAGGUAAAGCACUGAAUUGGCUAGGGGCCGAGAGGUUACUGAACCAUAUCAAACUAAGAAUGCCGGAUAAUUGUUUAUCAGGAGUCAGACAGUGGGAGAUAAGUUUCAUUGUCGAGAGGGAAAGAGCCCAGACCCACAGCUAAGGUCCCCAAUCAUAGUUAAGUGGAAAACGAUGUGGAAUUGCUUAGACAACCAGGAUGUUGGCUUAGAAGCAGCCACUCAUUAAAAGAGUGCGUAAUAGCUCACUGGUCGAGUGAUUCUGCGCGGAAAAUUUAACGGGGCUAAACUAUGAACCGAAGCUUGGGAUACCGCAAGGUAUGGUAGGAGAGCGUCGUAUACGGGGUGAAGUCAGAGCGAAAGCGCUGGUGGACUGUAUAGGAGUGAGAAUGCCGGAAUAAGUAGCGAGAAUUAAGUGAGAAUCUUAAUGGCCGAAAGUCUAAGGUUUUUGGAGGAAGGUUCGUCCGCUCCAAGUAAGUCGGGAGCUAAGGUCAGGCCGAAAGGCGUAGCCGAUGCACAUACGGUUGAAAUUCCGUAACCAUCUGCAAUUUAAGCAAAGGGACACUUAAGAAGGGGGUGACCCGGGCGUUGGUAGACCCGGGCGCAAGGGACCGAAAUUAGAGUAGGGAAGCACACAUGGAUUAAGGCGAGAAAAGCUUUGUGAAUAGAAGCAGAUGCCCGUACCGCAAACCGACACAGGUGGACAGGAAGAGAAUUCUAAGGCCAGCGGGAGAAGGGUAGUUAAGGAACUCGGCAAAUUGACUCCGUAACUUCGGAAUAAGGAGUGCUCGAAAGAGCCGCAGAGAAUAGGCCCAGGCGACUGUUUAGCAAAAACACAGGUCUCUGCCAAAUCGAAAGAUGAAGUAUAGGGGCUGACACCUGCCCGGUGCCGGAAGGUUAAGAGGAGAGGUAAGCGCAAGCGAAGCUUUGAAUUGAAGCCCCAGUGAACGGCGGCCGUAACUAUAAAGGUCCUUAGGUAGUGCAAUUCCUUGUCCGGUAAGUUCUGACCCGCACGAAAGGUGUAAUGAUUGGGGCACUGUCUCGGCAGCAGACUCGGUGAAAUCUUAGUACCUGUGAAGGUGCAGGUUACACGCAACUAAACGGAACGAACCCAUGGAGUUGUACUGUAGUCUGCUCUUUAUUUUUGGCCAAAUAUG
rnacentral:rRNA from 1 species